AAAUUCCAGUCCUUUUCCAGGCGCCUGUCUGAUCCAAGCCAUCCAGUAGCUACUAAAGUCGAAUCCAGAAGCUGUGCAGAUGUGUGUUUUGUACAGAUUUGAGUGUGUGGAGCUUCUAUCACUGAUACCAACUUUACACAGCUCAGAUUCAACAACCUGCUCAAAAGCUUUUGAAUGUAUUUUCACAACCAGAUGACGUUAUGAGCAGCUAUGGAACAACACACACGAAGAUAAUGGAGACAAUAAUGUCCAAAUAUUUAAAGAAGACUUGGAUAAGAAGACUUUGCCCUAACGAUCUGUGCCACACAGCUCUUGUUUAAAGAGCUUGUAUUUGAAAUAAAGAUAGGAGUUGCACCUGUUGUUAUUUUGUUGUUUUCUCUUAGUUGAAUGACUGUUUAAUUUUUUUCUUGGUGCCAUCAUCUCUUGUUCCAGUGCGAUCUUAUUUAAUAACAUCCAAUUCAUUUACCACUGACUUACUUUCAGGUGUUUAUUUUGUCUGAUAUAGGGAUCGUAUUGCGACAAGGUGCAUAUGAACAGCUGUGUGGGGAAAUGUAGGUCAUGUUGUUCUAAAUGCGAGCUAGAUUAUAACAAAAAUAGGUUAUAAUAGAAUUAAAAAUGCACAAUCGUGUACACAGUGAGUGAAGCCUAUAGGAAAUUCAAUUUAGAUAGUUUACUUAAUGUUGAAACGUAUGACGUUGAAACAUCAUCAGGAUAUCAACGCUGAUUCAAUUUACAAAAGCGAAACCAAUUUCAACGGUGAUGCAACGUUGAAAUGUCGGCUGGGCCUGCUCAGGCAAGGAGAUGUUCAGUAAUUUAUUAUCUUAAUUUUAUGCUGUUAUUUAUUUCUUACUUUGCAUGUUACACGUGACGCGGACUCGACUGUAAUCGGAAACAUUUCCGAGUCCAAAAUGUCCGAGUCCGUGUCAAGUUCAAAUGUAAAAUUUACCCGAGUGUGUGACAAGUCCGACUUAAUUCAUAAUUGGACUCGAGUCCGAGUCCGUUAUCGAGAAUCCCAAUUAAUUCUAAAGUCCGGUUUGCCAAAUAUAUCUGAGUGAAGACCCCAAAAAAUGUUAUACUGUACAAAAACC